CAGUAGCCGCGGUAAUACGAAGGGUGCAAGCGUUAAUCGGAAUUACCGGGCGUAAAGCGCACGUAGGCGGCUUGGUAAGUUAGAGGUGAAAGCCUGGAGCUCAACUCCAGAAUUGCCUUUAAGACUGCCGAGCUAGCAGGUGAGAGAGGUAAGUGGAAUUCCGAGUGUAGAGGUGAAAUUCGUAGAUAUUCGGAAGAACACCAGUGGCGAAGGCGGCUUACUGGCUCAUACUGGACGCUGAGGUGCGAAAGCGUGGGGAGCAAACAGGAUUAGAUACCCGUGUAGUCCCUGUCUCUUAUAC
rnacentral:rRNA from 1 species